CUCUUUAGCUUGGCAUUUGAAUCGGCUUUGCUGUUGCGAAGUAGAGUGGCGGCUUCGGCUGCCGAGGGUCGAUCCAUUUGGGAAAUGUUGUGUACUUCGGUAUGCAUCUCAAUUUGGACCUGAUAUCAGGCAAGAUUACCCGCUGAACUUAAGCAUAUUAAUAAGCGGAGGAAAAGAAACUAACAAGGAUUCCCCUAGUAACGGCGAGUGAAGCGGGAAGAGCUCAAGCUUAAAAUCUCCGUGCAAGUUUUGCGCGGCGAAUUGUAGUCUAUAGAGGCGUGAUCAGUGUGGGCGCUUGGGGCAAGUUCCUUGGAAGAGGACAGCAUGGAGGGUGAUACUCCCGUUCAUCCCUGAGUUGCUCGUGCGUACGAUCCGUUUUCUUUGAGUCGCGUUGUUUGGGAAUGCAGCGCAAAGUAGGUGGUAAAUUCCAUCUAAAGCUAAAUAUUGGUGCGAGACCGAUAGCGAACAAGUACCGUGAGGGAAAGAUGAAAAGAACUUUGAAAAGAGAGUUAAAGAGUACCUGAAACUGCUGAAAGGGAACCGAAUCGUUUCCAGUGUCUAUAAUCCGUGGUAUAUUUCAUUGGCGAGUGUGUGCGUGCGUGUGCUGUGGCAGCGGCUUUUUUGGCUGCGCUCGGCGUGUGUGCUGUGUGUGCUUGCUGGUGCCCUGUGCUGCGGUGGGACGUCAAGGUCAGUUCGUAUGCUGCGGGAAAUGGCCGCCGAGGAGGUAGGGCUUACGCUUGCGUUUGUCUGUUAUAUCUUGGUGGACGAGUAGUCGCGGUUGGGACUGAGGUGCCUACAACGUGUUUUUGAGUGGGCCUGUGUCUCUGUGUGCGCCGUGUGCGGAUAGCUUGCUAUGCGUGUAGUGGUUGUGUGUGGAUUGAUGUGGGUUUUAACUUGUU